GCCCUGCAACGAGCGCAACCCCUAGUUCUUAGUUGCUACCAUUUAGUGAGCACUCUAAGGAGACUGCCCGUGUUAAGCGGGAGGAAGGUGGGGACGACGUCAAGUCCUCAUGGCCCUUAUGUCCAGGGCUACACACGUGCUACAAUGGGCGAUACAAAGGGUUGCUAAGCCGCGAGGUGGAGCUAAUCCCAAAAAGUCGUCCUCAGUUCGGAUUGGAGUCUGCAACUCGACUCCAUGAAGGCGGAAUCGCUAGUAAUCGCGGAUCAGCAUGCCGCGGUGAAUACGUUCCCGGGCCUUGUACACACCGCCCGUCACACCAC
rnacentral:rRNA from 1 species